rnacentral:rRNA from 1 species
UACCUGCAGUCGAGCGGAUGAAGGGAGCUUGCUCCUGGAUUCAGCGGCGGACGGGUGAGUAAUGCCUAGGAAUCUGCCUGGUAGUGGGGGAUAACGUCCGGAAACGGGCGCUAAUACCGCAUACGUCCUGAGGGAGAAAGUGGGGGAUCUUCGGACCUCACGCUAUCAGAUGAGCCUAGGUCGGAUUAGCUAGUUGGUGGGGUAAAGGCCUACCAAGGCGACGAUCCGUAACUGGUCUGAGAGGAUGAUCAGUCACACUGGAACUGAGACACGGUCCAGACUCCUACGGGAGGCAGCAGUGGGGAAUAUUGGACAAUGGGCGAAAGCCUGAUCCAGCCAUGCCGCGUGUGUGAAGAAGGUCUUCGGAUUGUAAAGCACUUUAAGUUGGGAGGAAGGGCAGUAAGUUAAUACCUUGCUGUUUUGACGUUACCAACAGAAUAAGCACCGGCUAACUUCGUGCCAGCAGCCGCGGUAAUACGAAGGGUGCAAGCGUUAAUCGGAAUUACUGGGCGUAAAGCGCGCGUAGGUGGUUCAGCAAGUUGGAUGUGAAAUCCCCGGGCUCAACCUGGGAACUGCAUCCAAAACUACUGAGCUAGAGUACGGUAGAGGGUGGUGGAAUUUCCUGUGUAGCGGUGAAAUGCGUAGAUAUAGGAAGGAACACCAGUGGCGAAGGCGACCACCUGGACUGAUACUGACACUGAGGUGCGAAAGCGUGGGGAGCAAACAGGAUUAGAUACCCUGGUAGUCCACGCCGUAAACAUGUCGACUAGCCGUUGGGAUCCUUGAGAUCUUAGUGGCGCAGCUAACGCGAUAAGUCGACCGCCUGGGGAGUACGGCCGCAAGGUUAAAACUCAAAUGAAUUGACGGGGGCCCGCACAAGCGGUGGAGCAUGUGGUUUAUUCAAGCAACGCGAAAACCUUACCUGGCCUUGAUGCUGAAACUUUCCGAAUGGAUUGGCCUUCGAUCGACGCUGCAUGUGCGUCAGCUCGUGCGGAUAGUCCCUAACGCUACGCUUCGACAACAGGGGAUCAG